GAAAUGAUGCUAUAUGUUCUAAGUCUUGCACAUUCUGAAAAAUCACCAACAAAAAAGAGAAGAGGAGGAAAAAAAAAUUACAUGAUACUGAGAGCCAUCUCAUAUUAUGAAUAAUCUACCAAGAAACAUUCAAAAAAGUAACUCUUUGCUUCUACAAAUGAAUAAUUCUUGUGUUGAUUGUACUCCAUUGAAGACAUUUCACUAACAAGAAGCUUCAUUUUAGCAAUCCCAUGUGCAAAUUUUAAUAAAAUAUAUUAAAAAUUCAAUUCAUAUCUUGCCCUCACUGUCCAGCAAGCAUGACAACAUUUUUGAGAAAUCUUUUGCUACAGCAGGGGUUAAGCCAUAGUUUUGCCUGAAACUCCCAUCUCUGCAGUCUGUUUGGAUAUAACAUCCACCAGAAGCUGAAAUCUAUGAAAAUCCUAUUUGAGGUCUGGUGGAGUGAGAGAGGAGUGUUGAAAAGACCACUCCUGAGUAUUUAUUUGUACUCAAUCCAGAUUUAUAUGUGUCCUCUGGGUAUAAGAGAGAGAUGCUGUAAAGUUGCUGGCUGCCAUUUGCUGUAUAUCUGUGAUUUGUCCCACAUCAACCAAUGGCAGAAAGAGAAAAGCACAUCUUUCAAAGCAGUUAGAGUAGCAUGGCAGACCACUGAUGGACAAGCCAAAAUUGAUCCAGGGAUAAUGGCUUUGGAGACAGUGGCCUCCCCAGGGUUAGGUUUGGUCUAGUUGUACAGGAAUAAAAUAGGCUCUUCUCUAGAGCUGGCAUGAUGUUUUCAAUGCCCAUUGCAGCCUAGAAAUACCGAAGUGCCACAAGAAAUCAAACACGUUUGAAAGUGGGUAGGCAAGGCACACUUUUACUUCUUCCAGAACAUCUCCCUACCUACUGGAACCUGACUAGCAAGUGCUCCUGGGCGGGCAGUCCACCUCUCUAUAUACCUAGUGCAGUGC
rnacentral:lncRNA from 1 species